rnacentral:rRNA from 1 species
UUUUUAUGUUAAUGUGGUGACUUGGGUAGUAUUAGAUUAUUCUUGAAACUUAAAGAAUUUGGCGGUGUUUUAUUUCUUUUUAGAGGAAUCUGUCCCAUAAUCGAUAGUCCGCGAUGAACCUUACUUUUUAUAAUUUAGUUUAUAUACCGUCGUUGAUGAAAAUUUUUUUAGAAUUAAUGAAUUUUCUUAAUUUCUUAUUAUAUUAUAUUUCAGAUCAAGGUGUAGCUUAUUAAUAUAGUGGAGAUGGAUUACAAUUAUUUAUUUUAAUUAUGGAUUUAAUUGGUAUGUAAUUAUUUUGAAGGUGGAUUUAAUAGUAAUUUUAUAUAGAUUAUUAAAAUGAAUUAGGCUCUGGAACAUGU